AGGUAUAUCUACGAAAGGCCGGGUUUGACGUCAAAAUGUAAAUACUCUGUAUAUGCAUUCAUUCACAUUCUGAAAAAAAGGAACCAAAUCGCUAACACCUCUCGGAUUAAGACCGAUUAUUACAGCACAGCGGUCGAUAAAUUUGUGUGCAUUUUGUAUGUUGACCUCUUAUUAAGGAGAAAUGGCGAGAUUACGAGAAGGCAAGUUAUACAAACUUCUCAAAGAAUCUGACGAUGCAGAUGAAGUGUUUGAUGCUUGUUACAACUAUGCUUACAGUGGCAAGGACCUUAACGCACGAGAUGAAGAGACGGGGGAGAGUUUUAUGCACCUCCUGGCGGAGGAGAUCCGCCACUUCACGAGCGCCCGUGGGGUGGGGAUCAUAUAUUUGAUGGCGUGUAAAGGCAUGGAUCUAGAUAUUGCUGAUAUUAAUGGGGACACGUUUCUCCACAAGAUUUGUCGGAAACCACAUACCCAUCGUGUACUGGUCUCUGUUAUUCGGAGUGGGGCGGAUCCAUUAAUUCGCAAUAAGAAGAGCCAGACACCAGCCGAUGUUUUACUGGAGGAGAAACCCGAGGGAUGGGAGGAGACUCUUCAUUACUACAACAUGUUCAAACCUGGUUUGUACCGCGCUCUUCAAGAAGACAACCCAGACAGAGAGCUGAUACGUCGUCUGUUGAAGUUUUGGUGCCGUGUAACUGUGGUCAAGAAUCGCCAGACAAUCCACCUUAAGUCCCGACUCUUAGAGACAGCUUAUGGGCGGAAUCUCGUAGAGCUCAUAGAAGAGUACGAAAACACAAACGAAUUCAUCCCCGCCUUGCUUGAGUGUGAGGCUAAGCUAAUUAGACAGUGGAUUAAAGAUCAAAUUAUAGUAAACAUCAACGUCAACACCAAAGACUACAGUUACCAGUUUGCGGCCCCUAAUACACCAAUAGCCCCACGCCCGCUCCUGGUGGCCGUUUGGGAGACACGAUGUUUGGAGACAGUCGACAUAAUGAUGGAGCUCGGUGCCGACACUAGUGUACUCUUUUCAUCAGAACCAGAUAAAGAAAAACCUAAGCCUCUCUUUUUCCACGUUCUAGGUGGCCCUUUCAAACCAUCAGAUGAAAUUGCCUACCGGAUAUUACGUGGCUCUAAUCUCAACGUCAGGGAUCUCAAUGGACGAACAGUUUUGUUUGAAGCCAUUUCACAAGACUCAUCAGAAAUAAUGAUUAAUUUUCUACUCAGUCAAGGAAUCCGGAUAGGAUUGCGCGAUAAACAAGGAUUUACAGCAUAUGAUAUUGCCAAGAAAGAGAAAAAACUACAUUACUGUAAACUUUUAGAUAAUCACGUGAUCAGCCUCGUUCGGGAUUGUGACAUGUCACGUGUUGAGGAUAUGAUUCUACUGGGAUAUGACCGAGUUCUGAAAGCUAAGGAUAAGGAUGGGGUGACGGCCCUUGGGAUAGCAAGAAAUAGUGAAUCUACACAACUGAGAGAAACACUGAACAAAUUUAAAAAUGUUCAGGAACACAUUUGCAAAUUAUUCCAAACUACACACGAAGGUGAUCUACAGCAAUUAAAGAAUUUAUUGGGAAGGAAGUAUUAUUGUGCUCAGGAUAUUUGUGGGAGAAAUGUCCUUCAUAUUGCUGUUAUGCAUCAGUAUAAGUCAAUAGUAGAAUACCUGUCAACUCACUAUCCUCAGCUUCUCAACAUGCAGGAUAAUCUAGGACGAACGCCGUUACACUAUGCAGAAAUCUUUCUGGAAGGCAAUGACAUCAUAGAUUUCAUGAUUGAAAAGGGAGCAUCAGUUGAUAUCAAGGACGUGCAAGAACGUACAAGCGUUGACUAUCAAUGUGAUGUUUGCGGGCAGAGAACGUACUUAGCGUUAAAGAAGGAGAUCCAGGAAUUCAGACUUGAUGUGUUCCUGGCACAAACCAAUUUCGAAAGGGCAUUUAUGGAGGCUGUAAAGAAAAACGACUUGCCCAAGAUUAAGGACCUGGUUAAAGGCGUGUUGAUGUAUGGAAACCUAAACCGCUACAGUCAUGUGCUCUUUGACUGUGUGGACAAAGGUCAAGAGGAUAUAGCUGUGUACUUGAUUGAGCAGGGCAUGGACACACGUAUCUACAAACAGUAUCAAGCAUGCAUAGACAAUGAUCCCGAUUGUGCUGUUGGAGAAUGCAGUCACACUGUGACGUCAUUUAAAGAGAGGGUAAUCAACAACGGUAACAACAGGAUACUGAAUGCAAUGUCAGAAAGAAACAGCAAAGCUGAACAGUUGCCAGGGAUCAUACUUGGCUACUGCUAAAGGUGGAAAUAUAACACACAGAGGGUUUUUCUAUGUAUAUUCUGUCAACAACUAUAGGUUGCGAAGCAGAGAACGUUUUGCCCGGAUGUGCAGUCAUUCAAUGUUUUCGGAUUGCUGUGACACACAUUAGAG